rnacentral:tRNA from 1 species
GCCGACGUAGCUCAGGGGUAGAGCAGCUGAUUUGUAAUCAGCCGGUCGUCCGUUCAAAUCGGAUCGUCGGCU